rnacentral:rRNA from 1 species
UACGUAGGGGGCAAGCGUUGUCCGGAAUCAUUGGGCGUAAAGAGCGUGUAGGCGGCCUGGUAAGUCCGCUGUGAAAGUCCAGGGCUCAACCCUGGAAUGCCGGUGGAAACUGUCAAGCUUGAGUCCGGAAGAGGCGAGUGGAAUUCCGGGUGUAGCGGUGGAAUGCGUAGAGAUCCGGAAGAACACCGGUGGCGAAGGCGGAUCUCUGGGCCAUUACUGACGCUGAGGAGCGAAAGCGUGGGGAGCGAACAGG